rnacentral:rRNA from 1 species
GAUGAACGCUGGCGGCGUGCUUAACACAUGCAAGUCGAACGGGAUCCAUCAGGCUUUGCUUGGUGGUGAGAGUGGCGAACGGGUGAGUAAUGCGUGACCGACCUGCCCCAUACACCGGAAUAGCUCCUGGAAACGGGUGGUAAUGCCGGAUGCUCCGACUCCUCGCAUGGGGUGUCGGGAAAGAUUUCAUCGGUAUGGGAUGGGGUCGCGUCCUAUCAGGUAGUCGGCGGGGUAACGGCCCACCGAGCCUACGACGGGUAGCCGGCCUGAGAGGGCGACCGGCCACAUUGGGACUGAGAUACGGCCCAGACUCCUACGGGAGGCAGCAGUGGGGAAUAUUGCACAAUGGGCGCAAGCCUGAUGCAGCGACGCCGCGUGCGGGAUGACGGCCUUCGGGUUGUAAACCGCUUUUGAUCGGGAGCAAGCCUUCGGGUGAGUGUACCUUUCGAAUAAG